AUCUAGCGGAAGGAAAGAAACUAACCAGGAUUCCCUGAGUAACUGCGAGUGAACAGGGAAAAGCCCAGCACCGAAGCCUGUGGCCAUUUGGUCGCUAGGCAAUGUGGUGUUCAGGUUGUUCCGCGAAGCUACUGCUCCACCCUAAGUCCAUAAAUGAGUACGGUAGUAUGGACCCGGCCCAGAGAGGGUGAAAGGCCCGUGGGGGUGGAGACCAGGCAGGCCAGUAGCUUCCUGGAUAAACCUUGGAGUCGGGUUGUUUGUGAAUGCAGCCCAAAGUGGGUGGUAAACUCCAUCCAAGGCUAAAUACAAGCACGAGUCCGAUAGCGAACAAGUACCGUGAGGGAAAGUUGAAAAGUACUUUGAAGAGAGAGUAAACAGUGCGUGAAACCGGUCAGAGGUAAACGGGUGGAGUUGAACUGCAAGCUCUGGGGAUUCAGCUGGUGAAUGUGGUUUGAGCUUGGUCAAAUUGGUUGGACAUCGGGGUCUGCGUAGCUGCAGGUCUCCGCCCUUCGGGGAGGGGAUGCGCGAUACACUUAUCAAGUGUUGUGCGCCCCGGUGUUCUUCGAGCCGACUCGCCAGUGCACUUUCCCAGAGUGGUCACCACGACCGGCACUGCUGUCUGGCUGUUGCGGUUAAACCGGUGUUGCAUUGUCCCUGUGGCUUUGCUUGAUCGGGAUGGCAGGUAGCUCGUUGACUUGCUUGUGGCUUGCUGCAGGCGUUCAGUCUUCGGGUGUAAUCAGCUGACCGCCUCGGUUCUGUGCGGUGUGUCGGAGACGGCGGCUUUUGCGUGUGCGUGCGUGCCUGUUCGUCUGGUGUGCCCGAGUUCUGGUUGUUAUGUCGCCUGUGGAUGCAGGCCUGAUGAUGGCUCGGGUUCGUGCGGGCGGCGGUUGCGUGCGUGUCACGGUGAUGGGGCCCAUAGUCUGUGGUGUAGUGGUAGACUAUCCACCCGACCCGUCUUGAAACACGGACCAAGGAGAGUAACAUGUGCGCGAGUCAUUGGGCGCUACGAAACCCAGAGGCGCAGUGAAAGUAAAGGUCUGGCUUGUCCUGACUGUGGUGAGAUCCUGUCGUUCCUCAUGCGUGGUACCGUCAAGCAUCGAGCGGCAGGCGCAUCACCGGCCCGUCCCAUGACAAUUGUUUUUCGACAUUACCCAGUCGGGGCGGAGCAUGAGCGA
rnacentral:rRNA from 1 species